rnacentral:lncRNA from 1 species
UUCCCGCAGGGAAAAUCCUUUUCCUGUGGGCAUAGGCUCUUAUUGGGAUGCAAAUGUGUUUUCACGAGGAAUUCUCCACCAGUAGGCAUGUGUGCACACAAAUUUCUUGCUACGUGUUGCAUGUGACAUCUUGCAAGCGCAUGACAUCUUCUUUCGUGCGUGUGCUGUGGGGAAUCUCGCAGGAGUUGGAUUGCUUACGGGCAUGCUCUUCUUGGGUU